rnacentral:misc_RNA from 1 species
GAAAUGCGAUAAUUAAUGUGAAUUGCAGAAUUCCGUGAAUCAUCGAGUCUUUGAACGCACAUUGCGCCCCACGGUAUUCCGUGAGGCAUGCUCGUCUCAGCGUCAGUAAACAACAUCAAACUUCGGACUUGCGUCGAAGUUUGGACAGUGUCAGGGAAGUCGUUACCAAUAGAGUGACAGCUCCUUGGAAAUCCAUAGGUGUUCAUGCAGCCACGAAUGGAACGUGAUGAGAAUUCCUUCGUUCUAGAGUGGAUGGCUUGGGCCACCCAGAAACCCACAUGCCUUAUGGCAUUACUUCUGCCUUGACCUGAGAUCGGGUAGGGAUACCCGCUGAACUUAA